CUACAUUUGCCGCUGUUUUGUUCCGUAAUCUCCGUUCGGAGAUGUGGAUGAAAAGGGAAUCGGGUGUGAAUCCCGGACAGUCCCGCUGCUGUGUGUUUCAAGAGGAAUGUAUCAUACUCGGAUGCCACUGUUUUUCUGAUAAUAAAGAGAAUGGGAAGGCGAUACAUUAGGAAACGAGUCAGAAGACCUGCAAAACAAAGUCGAAAAAU
rnacentral:ncRNA from 2 species